CUGGACUGGAGACCACGUACCGGUAAGC
rnacentral:sRNA from 1 species